rnacentral:rRNA from 1 species
CGCGUAGGCGGUUUUGUAAGUUCCGCGUGAAAUCCCCCGGCUCAACCGGGGAAUGGCGUGGAAAACUGCGAGGCUUGAGUUCGGGAGAGGGAAGCGGAAUUCCGGGUGUAGCGGUGAAAUGCGUAGAUAUCCGGAGGAACACCGGUGGCGAAGGCGGCUUCCUGGACUGACACUGACGCUGAGGCGCGAAAGCUAGGGGAGCAAACG